UACAUAGGUCUCAAGCGUUGUUCGGAUUCAUUGGGCGUAAAGGGUGCGUAGGCGGCGCGGUAAGUCGGGUGUGAAAUCUCGGAGCUUAACUCCGAAACUGCAUUCGAUACUGCCGUGCUUGAGGACUGGAGAGGAGACUGGAAUUCCUGGUGUAGCGGUGAAAUGCGCAGAUAUCAGGAGGAACACCGAUGGCGAAGGCAGCUUACUAGGCUGUAACUGACGCUGAGGCACGAAAGUGUGGGGAUCAAACAGG
rnacentral:rRNA from 1 species